rnacentral:rRNA from 1 species
UUAAACUGAAGAGUUUGAUCAUGGCUCAGAUUGAACGCUGGCGGCAGGCCUAACACAUGCAAGUCGAGCGGUAACAGGUC